UACGAUUUGCUGCUAACUAUUAGCGACUACGAACGGGUUCUAAACGUAGGAACGCUACGUUGUAGUCUGCAAUACCUCCGUGAAUGAACGGGAUGCUGCGACACUCGGGGUUUUUCCCAACUCAAGAUCGGUUCUCUUCUGCCUCACAACCUGCACGCUUGUUCAAUAAAGUUCGUGGGGAGACGUGGUCAUCGGCAGGGGCGUUUCUGUUCAGGAACCUGACCACGGUCAGCAGGACAGGAGAACAGCAGGCUUGUAAGCCGGAAACUCACGUCAGCCUACAAGGUGAGCAA